UUUGAUCGCCAACAGCCGGCAAACGCGGUUCGCUCACUUCGCAGCUUUCGCCACUCUGGCCUUUUGCCGAUUUUCGGUUUAUCUCUAUCUCUGUGGGCAGGAAAAUCGGAAUCGAAUCGGCCCGGCCAUAUAAAAUAAAAGGCCAGACAGUGUCUGGGCUUUGGCACAGUCGUUCGUUUCGCACCAAAUGGGAGACAACAACGUAGGAGAAAAGAGAGUGAGCCACAAAAGAAAAAGAAAUAAUUCGCAGAAAAAUAGUUAACGCGCGUGUUGGUGUGCGUGUGUGUGUGAUGCGUUCGUGUGUGAGAGGCAAAGCCAAGGAAAAUGCAACGGAAGUUUUCAGUCGCAAAGAAGAAAGACGAAAAAUCGCAAAACGGAACUGAAACAUAUUGUGAAAUUCGAGCGAGAGAGAAAGCGAUACAUCAACGUGGUUUCUGGAGCUUCUAGGUUUUUCUACCACCAGGAAUCAAAGAACGUGAAAGAACUCUUAAAAGAGAUGGCCGGAAAGAAGAACGAGCGUUUCAAAUAUAGAAUAUCAAGGGUCUGCCGGACGAAGCGCAAGAAAAAGAGAAUUUGCUGAAUGAAAUGUAAUAAUUCGCCGACGGAUGACGUCACGUCCUAUGUGGUCAUUAGCACUCCAGUGGCGCAACCAGGGGGCCAGUACUACGCUCCGAAAUAGUUGGUAAAACUUUUGACAUUCAAACCACAUUAAUACACAAUUUUCAGCACUUAAAGAAUGGAAGACUACAAAGUGAAAACCCCGCAAUUUGAAUCUAAAUACGCCCCUGGUUCCAGUUUUCUGCUCUCAUAUGACUAAUUUUGGCAUUGUUAUUGCAUAAAAUUCGCAUGGCGUCAUCAUCAUCAACGCGUACAACUACCAAGCUCAAAAAGAUCGUUAACCCCAAAGCGACGGAGACCUAAUACCAGGCACAAGGUCGCCUCCCGUGACCCCCUCCCCAGAAGGGGGUCGCCAUACGCUGAUGCAGUUUUGUUGCCAGGCGGCCGCCAAACAUCUGUCUCAGAACUGCAAAUGCUGAAAAAGAAACCUGACUGGGCUUGGCUUGGCCUGGUCUGGCUUUAUAUCUACAUCUUCAACUCCAGCCGCAGCUCCUACUCGUUAUAUGUGAUGAUGUUCCCCCGACUGAAAAGUCUCCUACCUUGCGCGCUAAUCAGUGACCGGGGCUUGUUUUUUAUAUACAGUCAGGUACCUGAAGUAGCGCGCGUGGUGGCAGACAUAUAUCUCCAUCUCCGUCAUAUAAAUAAGCCAAAUGCUCGCAGGCGAGUCCUCGCCAGAAAUCCCAUGUGUAUCAACUGUCUCCCAUGUCUAUUGUACUUCAUCAGGUGCUCUGGUGUGUCUCGUAACCCGGCACAUGUUGAAGUACACUCAAUAUGAGGCGAUUUGCAUACGAAAGCGACCGAUACAAGUGUUCAACGGAUUGGCUAAUCUAAAGAUUAGUAAAAUAUUAAAGUACUCUUUUUAUUCAGUUUUCCUUCAAUAAAACUUAGGAGCUGUUCGUUACAAAUAAAAUUAUGGCUUCUUGAAA